rnacentral:rRNA from 1 species
AAUAGAUACCCUGGUAGUCCACGCCGUAAACGAUGAGUGCUAAGUGUUAGAGGGUUUCCGCCCGUUUAGUGCUGCAGCUAACGCAUUAAGCACUCCGCCUGGGGAGUACGGUCGCAAGACUGAAACUCAAAGGAAUUGACGGGGGCCCGCACAAGCGGUGGAGCAUGUGGUUUAAUUCGAAGCAACGCGAAGAACCUUACCAGGUCUUGACAUCCUCUGACAACUCUAGAGAUAGAGCGUUCCCCUUCGGGGGACAGAGUGACAGGUGGUGCAUGGUUGUCGUCAGCUCGUGUCGUGAGAUGUUGGGUUAAGUCCCGCAACGAGCGCAACCCUUGAUCUUAGUUGCCAGCAUUUAGUUGGGCACUCUAAGGUGACUGCCGGUGACAAACCGGAGGAAGGUGGGGAUGACGUCAAAUCAUCAUGCCCCUUAUGACCUGGGCUACACACGUGCUACAAUGGAUGGUACAAAGGGCUGCAAGACCGCGAGGUCAAGCCAAUCCCAUAAAACCAUUCUCAGUUCGGAUUGU